CUGUGUUUCACCUGAUGGAGAAGUUGGGGCCAACCUGAGAUACAGCAGAAAAGUUAGAAAUUGGAUGAAUUAGAUUAGAAAUCAGAAUCUGAGGAUUUUGAGGCAUCAAAGUAGUUUACCUUGGGUCACCUCCUUUCCAGAUUCUUAAGAAUGAUGAAUUCCCUCCACAUUUAUGAGUAGAGGUUAAUCCCAUUUCUUAUAAAGACAGUUUGAUUCCCCUGUUCUUUUCUGAACAUGUUGUAAAUAUCAUAUGACAUUCCUUCUAGGAGCAGUUUUCUAGGAACACUUUCCUAAGAUGUCUUUGGAAUCACCCUCUCCUUGGGACUAGGGAAUAUACCAUUAUGAAUUGUGAAUAAUUAGACUUAUUGACCCAAAUCACUUUAUCACCGUGAAAUUUCCCUUUUUGGAAAUUUUCACCAGUUUGACUUUUACUGGGUCCACUCAGCUGCCCCUAGAAUAGGUCCUUGCUCAGUUAAGGAUGGGGACAAAAGCAGAAGAAGGGGACUGAAUUAGGUCAAGAGGGCUGGCUCCUCAGCUAUUCCUCCUGGACUCUGGCUGCCUCCCAGGGUCCCUCGCUGGAAGAAUGGCCUUCUGAGGGGCUCAUCCUUUGUUCUGGAAGAGGAUCCAAAGCCUCUGAGAUUGGUGGCAUCGAAAAAUAGGAGAAAAAUGAGUUCCCGAAUCCUUGCCUGGAAGAAAGCCACCUACUGACUGAGACCAAUCUUGCUGGAUUAUUAUGUUUGGCACACUGGCAUCUGAAGAGAUGACAGGUACAAAUGGGAGAUACAAAUAGGAGAUGACACUUUCACCUCAGUCACUGCAGCCCCAGAAGGAACCCAAGGUGGCCCCCUGGACCUUUUCCUGAAGCAACAUGGGGAGAAGCAAGCUGUCUUCAGAG
ensembl:lncRNA